rnacentral:rRNA from 1 species
CCUACGGGAGGCAGCAGUGGGGAAUAUUGCACAAUGGGGGAAACCCUGAUGCAGCGACGCCGCGUGGAGGAAGAAGGUCUUCGGAUUGUAAACUCCUGUUGUUGAGGAAGAUAAUGACGGUACUCAACAAGGAAGUGACGGCUAACUACGUGCCAGCAGC